rnacentral:lncRNA from 1 species
AGCGGCUAAAAUAUUAUUGUUUUCAAAAUAUUUUAUAUUUCUGCGUAUGUUUUAAUUUAUUUAAACUUUUGUUUGAAAAGACGUCCGACGAAAAUGCUUAUCUUUAACUAUCAGUUUGAAAUGAUUGUUAAAAUAAUCCGGUUUCGCAAAAGGGACGGGUAUACUCGAAUGAACAACUGGUUAAAACUAGUAAUGUUAAUGAUACAUUCCUAUGAUUGCGAAAAUGAGUCAUAUCCUAUUCAAACUACCGAGGUACUCUCUACAAAGAUUUUGAAAUUAUUAAUUGACUUUUAUAAAAAUUUAGCAGAAAAGUUUGGAGAUUACUAAGAGGAGGGCCAGUUUCUUCCAACCACGGGCUGCACCCAC